CAGCUAAACCUCAGAUGGCGAAGGGAACCGAGAUUGGCGAAAGGCAGGGCUGCAGCAAACCGUGGAGCCCCCAGGCCUUGAAGGGGCCCAAGACAGCUGAUGGGGCUGGUGGCAAAAAACCUGCGAAACCUCAGGCGGUGAAGGGUAGGAAAAAAGAAGGGUUGUCUGAAAUUAAUGGAAAUGUUUUAGCUGUAUGCACCUCAAAAGUUGAUUGUUGGUUUAAAAAUUUUUAAAUGGUUUUCAAUAUGAUUAACAUAGCCAAAGAAUGGCUAGAUCAGAUUAUGAGUGAAAUGCCAAACAUGGAAAACAUCUGUGAAGCGAUUAAAACAAUGGAUCAUUUUUCUUGUGCAAUGUCCUCUCAAAUUCAAACAGGCCUAGGCUAUCCUGAUGUAAAGCAGACAAUCAAAAGGGGUACAAUGAGAAGGGGGCGCUCUGGUCAUCAGCCUGGGAAAAAAAAGGGGGGAAACCUGUCACAGGGAAACUUUACUGGCACAAUAGAGCUGUUAAAUUGUUACAAAGGGCUAAAAAAAAUGCUUGCACGUAGGAAAAGAGUCUCUCUGCCUUCUAGUUCUACACAGUCUCAAGAACACUCACCAGGCUCUGCUCUGCAGACUCCUGAACAUGAUGCAGACCUUGAUGCAGAAAACCCACUGGUGUAUGCAGAAGUCACAAAUAGAUGGGAGUGGUCAAAUGAAAGGUUUCGAGCAUAUCAUAUAGCGCAAGAAUUUAGGUUUGCGAAUCUAGAACAUGUGACAAGCUAUGCACAAGCUAUUUCUGCCUUACAUGAUGCUAUUCAACAAGUUUUUAACGGUGUUAAUGAAAGUCUGGAGCCUGGGGAUUGUGUGCAGCUGAGAUUUGAGGGUGGGAACAUACAGAAACCUCUGUUUUCAGUGAAAAAGGUUAAGGGGGUGCUAGACGCUGAAGAAUUCCUCUCCAACCUGGCCAAUCUUUUACAGAGUAAUAUGGAUCUAUGUCUUGAAGGCACUUUACGAUUAGUAGUAACAAUUGUGAAACCUCCUCAGGGGGGCGGGCGUCCAAGAGCCUUGCGCUCUAUCCCCUAUAGUGCAAUUAUAAAUAAGAAAAAGAAAUAUCUAGUCGACUUCCGUGAUGUAAACAGUAAA
rnacentral:lncRNA from 1 species